rnacentral:rRNA from 1 species
UACGUAGGGGGCAAGCGUUGUCCGGAAUCAUUGGGCGUAAAGCGCGUGUAGGCGGCUCGAUAAGUCUGCUGUGAAAGUCCAGGGCUCAACCCUGGGAUGCCGGUGGAUACUGUCGGGCUCGAGUCCGGAAGAGGCGAGUGGAAUUCCUGGUGUAGCGGUGAAAUGCGCAGAUAUCAGGAGGAACACCAAUUGCGAAGGCAGCACUCUGGGACGUGACUGACGCUGAGACGCGAAAGCGUGGGGAGCAAACAGG